CCCGCGGCGCAUUAGCUAGUUGGUGAGGUAAUGGCUCACCAAGGCAACGAUGCGUAGCCGACCUGAGAGGGUGAUCGGCCACACUGGGACUGAGACACGGCCCAGACUCCUACGGGAGGCAGCAGUAGGGAAUCUUCCGCAAUGGACGAAAGUCUGACGGAGCAACGCCGCGUGAGUGAUGAAGGUUUUCGGAUCGUAAAACUCUGUUGUUAGGGAAGAACAAGUGCGAGAGUAACUGCUCGCACCUUGACGGUACCUAACCAGAAAGCCACGGCUAACUACGUGCCAGCAGCCGCGGUAAUACGUAGGUGGCAAGCGUUGUCCGGAAUUAUUGGGCGUAAAGCGCGCGCAGGCGGUUUCUUAAGUCUGAUGUGAAAGCCCCCGGCUCAACCGGGGAGGGUCAUUGGAAACUGGGAAACUUGAGUGCAGAAGAGGAGAGUGGAAUUCCACGUGUAGCGGUGAAAUGCGUAGAGAUGUGGAGGAACACCAGUGGCGAAGGCGACUCUCUGGUCUGUAACUGACGCUGAGGCGCGAAAGCGUGGGGAGCGAACAGGAUUAGAUACCCUGGUAGUCCACGCCGUAAACGAUGAGUGCUAAGUGUUAGAGGGUUUCCGCCCUUUAGUGCUGCAGCUAACGCAUUAAGCACUCCGCCUGGGGAGUACGGUCGCAAGACUGAAACUCAAAGGAAUUGACGGGGGCCCGCACAAGCGGUGGAGCAUGUGGUUUAAUUCGAAGCAACGCGAAGAACCUUACCAGGUCUUGACAUCCUUUGCCACUUCUAGAGAUAGAAGGUUCCCCUUCGGGGGACAAAGUGACAGGUGGUGCAUGGUUGUCGUCAGCUCGUGUCGUGAGAUGUUGGGUUAAGUCCCGCAACGAGCGCAACCCUUGAGCCAGCAUUCAGUUGGGCACUCUAAGGUGACUGCCGGUGACAAACCGGAGGAAGGUGGGGAUGACGUCAAAUCAUCAUGCCCCUUAUGACCUGGGCUA
rnacentral:rRNA from 1 species